rnacentral:rRNA from 1 species
AUUGAACGCUGGCGGCAGGCCUAACACAUGCCAGUCGAGCGGAUGAAGGGAGCUUGCUCCUGGAUUCAGCGGCGGACGGGUGAGUAAUGCCUAGGAAUCUGCCUGGUAGUGGGGGAUAACGUCCGGAAACGGGCGCUAAUACCGCAUACGUCCUGAGGGAGAAAGUGGGGGAUCUUCGGACCUCACGCUACCAGAUGAGCCUAGGUCGGAUUAGCUAGUUGGUGGGGUAAAGGCCUACCAAGGCGACGAUCCGUAACUGGUCUGAGAGGAUGAUCAGUCACACUGGAACUGAGACACGGUCCAGACUCCUACGGGAGGCAGCAGUGGGGAAUAUUGGACAAUGGGCGAAAGCCUGAUCCAGCCAUGCCGCGUGUGUGAAGAAGGUCUUCGGAUUGUAAAGCACUUUAAGUUGGGAGGAAGGGCAGUAAGUUAAUACCUUGCUGUUUUGACGUUACCAACAGAAUAAGCACCGGCUAACUUCGUG